rnacentral:lncRNA from 1 species
GGCCAACUCCCCCCCUCUCUCGAGCUUUUAGUGCGCUCCCGCCAUCUCUCGCCCUCCGCCGCGGAGCUGCCUCCAUGAGCCGCCUCAGCCCGAGGUAAAGAGAGGAAUCGAACCCCCUCGGUCUCCUCUCCAUUUUCCCCCUCUUCUCGGUUGUCGCCGUGCCCUGGCGCCAACCGGCCAUCUCCUUCUGUUCUUCCCGUGACGUUUCUGUCUCGAGGAAGAAGAAAGGGUUGUUUUGCCUUUUUACCCAUCCGCUUAUUCCUUUUCGCAUCCAUACCCUCCCACCUUUCUCUUUGCCAUUUUUAUCAGAGACCCUUCCACUUCCGAAAAUAAUUACAAACAAGUCCCUAACUCCUUACAAAUAAGCCCCUGAUCCUCUGUUUAGCCCUAAAAACCACCUUUACCUCGUCAUUUUGUGCGUCAAAUCCUCUCCAAUGAACCCCAAAUUCGACCAUAUCAUUCUCAAAUAUAUUUUUGCCGAGUCAUCUACAAAAUCCCUGAAAAUACUCCUCAUUUCCUAUUUUUAGUUCACUCCCUCCCUUCAAGCUCAACGGGUAAAACUUUAUUUUCUUUUAUUUAUUGUGUGCUUACUUCUGUGUGCCGUAGAUCGCGCAGUGACCGCGGAGGAGCCCGAAGACGAGCUUGAAGCCCGGUACCGCAAGCCGGAGCCUGAAGACCAGUACCGCAAGUAAGAACUCCCGGUCGACUUUGAGGAUGGCAAGUCCAAUCUUAUCCUUUGAUGCAUAUUUAUCCUAGUUUUUCAAACACAACCUAUUGGCCUGUUUUACAAAAAUUGCAUAUUGUUUUAUUGCUGAAUCACGGUUGGAUAGCCACCCCGUGGUUGUUAUGAUUAUUCCUUGAUGUCGUAUAAUUAUCUCUAAAUAUGAUAUGCUCUAUUUGGAUGAUAAUUACUGCUAGAAUACUUAGGACCUUGUUACUCAUUUGAUUAAAAUUCAAUUAUGACUUCAAUGUGUUUUAUCAAAAAAUAAAGGUGUGAGUGUUUUAAAGGAGAAAAAUGGGUUUUGGGGAAAUAAAGAAAAGAAAAUGCUUAGAUGAGAUGAAUGGGUGUUUCUUAUGUGAAAUGCCAAGUUGGGCUCGUACAUUUGUGGUUGAGCGGGUUGGGAAAUAUCCAUCUUGUCACGAUUAAGGACCGAGUUGAUGUGCCAUCUUGCCUAACCUAAUUUAUCGUGCAACCAGUCGACCGUUGUAUGCGGCAACAGCUUAGCAUAAAUCCUACUAGCUGGUUUGUUAGCCAUCAGGAGACCUGGUGAGCAACGGGAGACCAUGGAGAAGGAGUAAGAACUGUGUGACUUAGAUCCCGGUUGAGACCUCGUUGGAAGGCCAUUAACCCCUUGGUUGCUUCCGUGUUGGCUAGUCAGGCUUAGCUAAGGUGGGUAAUGGCUUUGAUAGGAUCUGCACCGACACUAAGGUGAUCGUGCUGCGAUACCCUACUUGUGGGUAAAGUGUACACCUCUGCAGAGUUAAAACCUAUUCGGGUAGCCAUGUCCACGGCAUUGGACGAGUUACGGCUUGGACACAUGACUAGUGUUUGAGAGAUGGAUGAUUUUCAUGGUGUGUGUUAGAUUUUGGAAGAGUCCGACAGUUGUGCCGUGAGCUACUACGGACGAGGAGUCCGGUACCAUUAAAACUUGGAUCCUUUGUGUAGGAUCAACCCCACUUAUUGAUUUGGUUACUAAAACAAAUGCUUUGCAAAAAUUCUUUUGAAAAUGAACCCGUGCAUGUGUUAAAAAUCUAGCUUUAUUGCAAAUAAACCUUAGCCUUAUCCUUGUUAUAUCUUCUGCAUACUCUUGCUUGUAUCCCCCUCCAUGGAUAGGGUUGGACUUAUUGAGUAAUUUUGUACUCACCCUUAUUUUGUUGCUUCAGAGGAAGACCCGGACUUCGUCAUCGAGGAUUUCGAGUAGGAGGUUGCUUCGGCACCCAACACUGCCUGUGGUGUUGGCCUUUGCAGAAUGCUUCCACUGUCGCUUAGUUCCGAUUACAGCCCAGAGUCCAACUGGACUGCAACUUGGAUCAGUAUUGUUAUUUGUUUACUUCUCCUUUAGGUGUGGCUUGCCCGCUCACUCCUUCGGGAGCUGUACGAUUUGUGAUCCAUCUGAUGAAUAAAUAUGUUAUCAGUCUCUGUUUA